UUACAGUCUGUUAGAACUGUCCUAGAGGU
rnacentral:piRNA from 1 species